rnacentral:rRNA from 1 species
UGUGCGAAGGUAGCAUAAUCAUUAGUCUUUUAAUUGAAGGCUUGUAUGAAUGGUUGGACAAAAAGUAAUCUGUCUCAAUUGUAAUAGUUGAACUUAACUUUUAAGUGAAAAGGCUUAAAUACUUUAAGGGGACGAUAAGACCCUAUAAAACUUGACAAUAAAUUAGUUAAAUUAUAAAUUGUUAGUAUAACUUGAUCUUAAUUAAUGUUUGUUGCGUUGGGGCGACGGGAAUAUAAUUAGUAACUGUUCUUAAAUACUUAUUAACAAGUAUAAUUGAAAAAUAAUUGAUCCUUUAUUAAAGAUUAAAAGAUUAAGUUACUUUAGGGAUAACAGCGUAAUCUUCUUUGAAAGUCCUCAUCGACAAGAAGGUUUGC